rnacentral:rRNA from 1 species
UGGGGAAUAUUGCACAAUGGGGGAAACCCUGAUGCAGCGACGCCGCGUGGGUGAAGGAGUAUUUCGGUAUGUAAAGCCCUAUCAGCAGGGAAGAUAAUGACGGUACCUGACUAAGAAGCCCCGGCUAACUACGUGCCAGCAGCCGCGGUAAUACGUAGGGGGCAAGCGUUAUCCGGAUUUACUGGGUGUAAAGGGAGCGUAGACGGCAGCGCAAGCCUGGAGUGAAAGGAUGGGGCCCAACCCCAUGACUGCUCUGGGAACUGUGCGGCUAGAGUGCCGGAGGGGUAAGCGGAAUUCCUAGUGUAGCGGUGAAAUGCGUAGAUAUUAGGAGGAACACCAGUGGCGAAGGCGGCUUACUGGACGGUAACUGACGUUGAGGCUCGAAAGCGUGGGGAGCAAACAGG